ACCAACUCUCAGCAACGGAUAUCUUGGCUCUUGCAACGAUGAAGAACG
rnacentral:rRNA from 1 species